GAUGAAGAACGCAGCGAAAUGCGAUAAGUAAUGUGAAUUGCAGAAUUCAGUGAAUCAUCGAAUCUUUGAACGCAUCUUGCGCUCCUUGGUAUUCUGAGGAGCAUGCCUGUUUGAGUGUCAUUAAAUUCUCAACUACACUGACUUUGAAUUGGUGUGGCUUGGAUUUGGGGGGAAAAUUGUUGUGGGCUUUUGGUAUAGUCUGCUCCCCUGAAAUUGAUUAGCGGUACCUUUGUGGAACUGUCUACAGGUGUGAUAAUUAUCUACAUCUUAGACAUCUGCUGGAAUGCUGCUUUCUAAACCUUACUUGUAUUGACAAUCUUGACCUCAAAUCAGGUAGGACUACCCGCUGAACUUAAGCAUAUCAAUACGCGGAGGA
rnacentral:misc_RNA from 1 species